CGCCUUCUGAAAUUUUUUAUAUAGAAGGUCCCGCCUGCCCUGUGACCAAGUGUUUAACGGCCGCGGUAUUUUAACCGUGCGAAGGUAGCGCAAUCAAUUGUCUUUUAAAUGGAGACCUGUAUGAAUGGCAUAACGAGGGUUUAACUGUCUCUUUAUCCCUGUCAAUGAAACUGAUCUACCCGUGCAGAAGCGGGCAUAAGAAUACAAGACGAGAAGACCCUAUGGAGCUUUAGACGCCCACCACCCAUAACCCAGCAGGCCUCUUAAGGAGCCCUUAACAUGAUGGGCGUGGCACAAACGUCUUCGGUUGGGGCGACCGCGGGAGAGAAGAGAGCUCCCACGUGGAUUGGGUUUGUCCUAAAACCCAGAGCCGCACCUCUAAGUCACAAAACAUUUGACCAGAAAUGAUCCGGCUUACUGCCGAUCAACGGACCAAGUUACCCUAGGGAUAACAGCGCAAUCCCCUCCCAGAGUCCAUAUCGACGAGGGGGUUUACGACCUCGAUGUUGGAUCAGGACAUCCUAAUGGUGCAGCCGCUAUUAAGGGUUCGUUUGUUCAACGAUUAAAGUCCU
rnacentral:rRNA from 1 species